rnacentral:rRNA from 1 species
UACCGCUGUUAUACCCUGAACAUGUCUGAUCGCGUCUGAUCUUGGAAGCUAAGCAGGGUCAGACCUGGUUAGUACUUGGAUGGGAGAAAUAUUGAAUUCCAAGGCUAGGUCAUAU